rnacentral:rRNA from 1 species
CAGCCGCCGCGGUAAUACAGAGGUCCCAACCGUUGUUCGGAUUCAUUGGGCGUAAAGGGUGCGUAGGCGGCGGGGUAAGUCAGGUGUGAAAUCUCGGGGCUCAACCCCGAAACUGCACUUGAUACUGCCUUGCUAGAGUACUGGAGAGGAGACUGGAAUUUACGGUGUAGCAGUGAAAUGCGUAGAUAUCGUAAGGAAGACCAGUGGCGAAGGCGAGUCUCUGGACAGUUACUGACGCUGAGGCACGAAGGCCAGGGGAGCAAACGGGAUUAGAUACCCCGGUAGUCCUGGCAGUAAACGGUGCACGUUUGGUGUGGGAGGAUUCGACCCCUUCCGUGCCGGAGCUAACGCGUUAAACGUGCCGCCUGGGAAGUACGGUCGCAAGAUUAAAACUCAAAGGAAUUGACGG